UAAACCGAUCCGGCCCAUGAGAUUCCUUUCUCCCUUAAACCAUUCUACACAACAACAAACAGAACCCACCUUCAGUAAACACCAUGAUAACUUCAUCAACUUCGCGACCCGACCCGUCUCCAACAACCCGAUCCAGCGAAACCAACCCAUCCUCAACCCAAAAUUCGGCUUAAACCAGGUUCCCAAUGUCGACCCGACUUCGAACCGCCUAGAUGGCGUGUGUUUGGUACGGAAAUUCGAGAAAGCUUCUACAAGUGGGUGAUUUGGCUCACCCCAACAUUCAAAUCCCGAAAAUCUCGGGUGCUAUGGUACGAAUUCGUACAUGGAUGGGGGAUUUUCAUUAGCUUUGAAAGAUUAUUCUCCUUCCUCUAUUUUCUAUUGGUUAGCUUUUGAAAUUAGAAAUGGAUUUGGUACGUUUUGGGAAGGGAAUUCCUUGUCUUGAGGGGAUUCCAUUGUUUGUUGAGCUUCCCAAAAUACCCCUAAUUUGGCUUUCUAUAUAGGAAACCAUUGGUUCUCUGUAAGGAAGGGGUUGAGAAAACUUAGGUUGGAAAAAUUUCUUUCAGAAGAGGUUCGAAAAACUUUCGAAAAAGGAAAAAAUAGCUUUUGUAGUAUAAAUUAUGUCGUUUAAGAAGACUCGACGACUGUUCGGAGUUUUAGAAGUCACGGAAAGGUCCUCCAGUGGUAAUCGAGAUUCCAUCAAAGUUCGAGUCCCUUUUUGCUGCUCCCUAAUAGGGAGUAGCUGUAGGAGGCCUCGUCGGGUGUAGGAUUAAAUUGUAUUGAUCGUUAUGUUGUUUAUUGAAUCAUUGGCCAUUCCACGUUUGGUUUCUUUGAAUACAAUUUUUCAUGUUAAUAUGUUGACUGGUUAAA